rnacentral:rRNA from 1 species
AUUGAACGCUGGCGGCAGGCCUAACACAUGCAAGUCGAGCGGAUGAGAGGAGCUUGCUCCUCGAUUCAGCGGCGGACGGGUGAGUAAUGCCUAGGAAUCUGCCUAGUAGUGGGGGACAACGUUUCGAAAGGAACGCUAAUACCGCAUACGUCCUACGGGAGAAAGUGGGGGAUCUUCGGACCUCACGCUAUUAGAUGAGCCUAGGUCGGAUUAGCUAGUUGGUAGGGUAACGGCCUACCAAGGCGACGAUCCGUAACUGGUCUGAGAGGAUGAUCAGUCACACUGGAACUGAGACACGGUCCAGACUCCUACGGGAGGCAGCAGUAGGGAAUAUUGGACAAUGGGCGAAAGCCUGAUCCAGCCAUGCCGCGUGUGUGAAGAAGGCCCUCGGGUCAUAAAGCACUUUAAGUUGGGAGGAAGGGCUUACAGCGAAUACCUGUGAGUUUUGACGUUACCGACAGAAUAAGCACCGGCUAACUUCGUGCCAGCAGCCGCAGUAA